UCGAACGAUGAACCACUUCGGUGGGGAUUAGUGGCGAACGGGUGAGUAACACGUGGGCAAUCUGCCCUGCACUCUGGGACAAGCCCUGGAAACGGGGUCUAAUACCGGAUAACACUCCUGCACUCAUGUGUGGGGGUUAAAAGCUCCGGCGGUGCAGGAUGAGCCCGCGGCCUAUCAGCUUGUUGGUGAGGUAAUGGCUCACCAAGGCGACGACGGGUAGCCGGCCUGAGAGGGCGACCGGCCACACUGGGACUGAGACACGGCCCAGACUCCUACGGGAGGCAGCAGUGGGGAAUAUUGCACAAUGGGCGAAAGCCUGAUGCAGCGACGCCGCGUGAGGGAUGACGGCCUUCGGGUUGUAAACCUCUUUCAGCAGGGAAGAAGCGCAAGUGACGGUACCUGCAGAAGAAGCGCCGGCUAACUACGUGCCAGCAGCCGCGGUAAUACGUAGGGCGCAAGCGUUGUCCGGAAUUAUUGGGCGUAAAGAGCUCGUAGGCGGCUUGUCACGUCGGGUGUGAAAGCCCGGGGCUUAACCCCGGGUCUGCAUUCGAUACGGGCUAGCUAGAGUGUGGUAGGGGAGAUCGGAAUUCCUGGUGUAGCGGUGAAAUGCGCAGAUAUCAGGAGGAACACCGGUGGCGAAGGCGGAUCUCUGGGCCAUUACUGACGCUGAGGAGCGAAAGCGUGGGGAGCGAACAGGAUUAGAUACCCUGGUAGUCCACGCCGUAAACGGUGGGAACUAGGUGUUGGCG
rnacentral:rRNA from 1 species